rnacentral:piRNA from 1 species
UAGAUGUCUCAUUUAGGAUUUCUAUGGCUG